rnacentral:lncRNA from 1 species
UCCUGAUUAAAUUCAAAAGAAGCCCUUUUUUUUGGGUGGUAUCAGGUGUGUACUAGAUUUAAGACUGUUUUUUUACUGUCAAUACGAUCUAUAUUGCAUUUUUUGUCACUUUGUCUUGAAACGCAAGUCAUGGAUGAUUAGAUCAUUUCUUGAGGAAAGUAUGUUUAUCACAUGACCUUAUGAACAUUUGAUUAGUUAGUUGCAGUUACUUUGAAGCUGGAUUAGUUUCACUUGCUACUUAUAUUAAUCUGCAAGAAAAUGCUUUUUUUCAUGUUAUGAAUAGAGUGAUUCAGUGGUUAAUUUCUUGUUUUAAUGUUGCUGAUCAUGGAAUGCCUGUGCUUUGUUUUUUGAACUGUUUUCUGGUAUAUGAGAUACAUAUUUCUGACGAAUUUAGACUUUGAACAAUGCGGCUGAAAAUCAAAUCUUGUCGUUGUUGAGGAGGAGGGGAUGCGAUUGUCUUAUGCUGUAUGAUACAGUGUUGGUUGGGUACAAACUAUCUUCUGUAUGCAAGGACAUGAUAUUUCUGAGAAAUGAUGGUGAUACUGAUGGUCAUCCACAUUGGGUUAAAGGCCCAAGAGUCAGGAUAAGGUUUAAGGCAACUACCUUUUGUCUAGGAAACUGUUUGGCAAUAUAUUUCAGAGUGACCAAAGUUAGCAUUCUACAGUAUUCCACUUUUUUGGCUUUAAUCCCCUUGUAACUGUCAUCCAUCUACGUGUAUGUAGAUUUAAAGAUAAAGGGAUGAAAGGAAUUAAUGAUCUUAUGUGAUAAUCUUCUCAAAGUAUUUUGCUUGCCAAGUUUCAGAUAUAUUCACUAGCAAACGAAUUUUCAUGCGUCAGAUUGUUACUUCCUGAAAUUCAAUUACAUUUUGUGGCUAACUUUGCUAAGCGCAACACCAUUGAUAUGCAUGAGGUGAAAUACUUUUAGCUACAGGCUAUUUGCUUCUGCGAGUCAAAAGAGAAACCAGGAACAUGGAUGGAGUGCAUGCAUAUCAAUUAUACUCCAUUUCAUCUCUUGUGCAAAUAAAAGGUCUUCCUUAAUCCAUAAUUUGCAGGAUGACUGUUUUCCUGGUGUGCAGAAUUCUGCUAGUAUUGAGGGUUUGGUAUGGUCCAACGAUUGUAGAACGUGAUUACUGAAUGCUGAUGGUAGGUAAGAUUGCUAACCUGUUGGAGCUGGAGAUUGACAGCACUGAUUGAGUUUUCCACUUGCUCCAACCAAUUUUGAUUUGCAUGUGAACCCAAUUUCCAAACUUAUUGUUCUCCUUAGGCAGUGUCAGUUGACAGGAUGCCAGUCCUUGCUGGGCCCUACUUAUUAUAGGUUAUGUAUAUGUUUUUACUAACGUUUGGUAGAACAUCUAGUUUAAUGGAACUUCUCUCGGAGGUUUUUGCUUUUCAGAAGUGAGGCUGGUGACCUGGCUAGGCAUAACUUACAAUGUAUCUUGAAUUCUUACAGUUUACAAAUGUGACGCCUCUUGGUUCAAGUCCUCCUCUUCUAUUCUCCUGGCUCUUUCUGAUAGGUUAAUUUUCAGUGCUAAUGCAACUGCUUCAAUUUGAAAGGAUCCCAUUAGUUCCAAGAGUUUGAGGUCACUUGGCUUAAAAUCCUUAAUUUCUGAUGUGGAAAUCUACAGCUUCUGGUGGUUUCCUAUUUGUGUUAUCAUGUUAUCUUGUAAAAGAUUUCAGUUAUAUAUGCUAUAUAAUAAAAGCUUUUUUGCUAGCAAAAAUCAACUUUGUAGUAACUGAAUCCUUAAGUUUGAUGUAUUGGCCUUUUCUGACUUCGGGAUUAUUUGGAUGUUGUCUAUAGACUAACACAAAUUUACAGUAUUUUUGGAUUUGGAGUUUUUCUAAAUAUGUUUUUUGGUGUGGUAUUUUUGGGGUAUUUUUGAUGCAUG